rnacentral:misc_RNA from 1 species
ACGAAUCUCAGGACCCUUGGUGUCCAGCAUGACAGCGCACAUGAUCUGAGUAUUAUGCAUCGCUAUCCGGAGGUUAUCGAGGGUCUCCUGGUGGUACUCGUGCGUGCCGUGCGAGAAAUUGAAUCUCGCGACGUUCAUCCCGGCGCGCAGCAGCUUCUCCAGCAUCGGCACCGACCGCGACGCCGGCCCCAGCGUGCACACCAGCUUCGUCUUCGGCACCCUCCCGUCGGCCGGCAGAUCCUUCAGGAGUCGCUCAAUGUCGAUGUUCGCCAUCUCUCCUCUGCUACAGAGUUGGAGAUCUGAUCGGAUUUUGUAGGAGAGCGGGGGUUGUGGAUAUCUAAGUCGCCG